AAGGAUUUAAGUUAAUUUAAACUAGUAGCCUUCAAACCUACCAAUAAAGUAUUUUAAGCCUUA
rnacentral:tRNA from 1 species